rnacentral:rRNA from 1 species
AUACGGAGGGUGCAAGCGUUGUUCGGAAUUACUGGGCGUAAAGCGCGCGUAGGUGGUCUGUUAUGUCAGAUGUGAAAGUCCACGGCUCAACCGUGGAAGUGCAUUUGAAACUGGCAGACUUGAGUACUGGAGGGGGUAGUGGAAUUCCCGGUGUAGAGGUGCAAUUCGUAGAUCUCGGGAGGAAUACCGGUGGCGAAGGGGACUACCUGGCCAGAUACUGACACUGAGGUGCGAAAGCGUGGGGAGCGAACAGGAUUAGAAACCCGUGUAGUCC